rnacentral:rRNA from 1 species
GAUGAACGCUGGCGGCAGGCCUAAUACAUGCAAGUCGAGCGGACGGACAAGAAGCUUUUUCCUCUACUGUUAGCGACUGGCGGGCGGGUAAGGAGUAGAUCACCAACUUCUUUUUCGGGGGGGACUACGGGGGAAAACAGCUACUAACAGCUCAUACUUCCUACCGGUUGAUGCAGAGGUGAAUCACACUCUUCCCGACUCAAUUAGACGAUGUCGGAUUAGCUAGUUGGCGGGGUAAAGGCCCACCAAGGCAACGAUACGUAGCUGGUCUGAGAGGAUGAUCAGCCACACUGGAACUGAGACACGGUCCAGACUCCUACGGGAGGCAGCAGUGGGGAAUAUUGGACAAUGGGCGCAAGCCUGAUCCAGCCAUACCGCGUGAGUGAAGAAGGCCUUCGGGUUGUAAAGCCCUUUUGUUGGGAAAGAAAAGCAGCAGGUUAAUACCCCGCUGUUCUGACGGUACCCAAAGAAUAAGCACCGGCUAACUUCGUG